rnacentral:rRNA from 1 species
CUACUGAUUUAUGAGUAUCUACCUAACAAGAGCUUAGAUGCCACAAUUUUUGAUGAUUCAAGAAAAUUGUUGUUGGAUUGGACACUACGGUUUAAUAUAAUAAAAGGAGUCGCUAAGGGACUUCUCUACCUCCUCCAAGAUUCAAGACUGACGAUAAUUCAUAGAGAUCUUAAAGCUGGAAAUGUUUUGCUAGAUGCAGAGAUGAAGCCUAAGAUAGCAGACUUUGGUAUGGCUAGGAUCUUUGUUGAUAACCAAGAAAGUGCAAAUACCCAGCGUGUUGUCGGAACAUCUGGAUACAUGGCUCCUGAGUAUGCAAUGGAAGGCGUCUUCUCUACGAAAUCCGAUCUCUACAGCUUUGGCGUGCUACUACUAGAGGUUGUGACUGGUAUAAGGAGAAGCUCAAAUAGUCAAACUAUGGGCUUCCCAAGCCUCACGGUCUAUUCAUGGAAUAUGUGGAACGAAGGAAAGACUGGGGAUUUGCCGGACUCGUCUAUUAUGGGUAAUUCUUCACCAGAUGAAGUUUUGCUUUGCGUUCAUGUAGCACUCUUAUGUGUCCAGGAGAACCCAGAUGACAGACCACAUAUGUCAUCUAUUGUGUUCGUCCUAGAGAAUGGAAGCACUUCACUUCCAACCCCCAAUUGCCCCGCCUACUUUGCGCGACAAGGUGCUCAGAUGGAGCAAAUCAGAAAUGAUAUUCAGACUUCGACAAAUAGUUGUACACUUAGCGAAAUAGAUGGGCGAUGA